GGGAGCAAACAGGAUUAGGUACCCUGGUAGUCCACGCCCUAAACGAUGCGAACUGGAUGUUGGUCUCAACUCGGAGAUCAGUGUCGAAAGUAACGCGUUAAGUUCGCCGCCUAGGGAGUACGGUCGCAAGACUGAAACUCAAAGGAAUUGACGGGGGCCCCGCACAAGCGGUGGAGUAUGUGGUUUAAUUCGAUGCAACGCGAAGAACCUUACCUGGCCUUGACAUGUCCGGAAUCCUGCAGAGAUGCCGGGAGUGCCUUCGGGAAUCGGAACACAGGUGCUGCAUGGCUGUCGUCAGCUCGUGUCGUGAGAUGUUGGGUUAAGUCCCGCAACGAGCGCAACCCUUGUCCUUAGUUGCCAGCGAGUAAAGUCGGGAACUCUAAGGAGACUGCCGGUGACAAACCGGAGGAAGGUGGGGAUGACGUCAAGUCCUCAUGGCCCUUACGGCCAGGGCUACACACGUACUACAAUGGUCGGUACAGAGGGUUGCAAUACCGCGAGGUGGAGCCAAUCCCAGAAAGCCGAUCCCAGUCCGGAUCGAAGUCUGCAACUCGAUUCGUGAAGUCGGAAUCGCUAGUAACCGCGGAUCAGCUAUGCCGCGGUGAAUACGUCCCGNGCCUUNCA
rnacentral:rRNA from 1 species